rnacentral:lncRNA from 1 species
GGAUGGAGCUUGAGGGGUGACUUCUAUAUUUAUUAUUUCCUUAUUGCAAAAUUAUAGCAACUAAAAUAUUUUAUUAUUGUAAUCUUUUCAUAAAAAUAACAGCGUUAAAGAAAGGAGUAGCUGGGCUGUGUAGCACUGUUGAAUGGACGGGGAGGCUUGGAAGAAAAUCACACACUGGGAUCCUCCAGAGCCUGCGGGAAGCCUGCAGCACAGGGUCAGACAGUGUCCCCUGGGGUGGCCCUCUCCCAAGCCCUGGGCAAGUUGCUGUGUCCCUCUUUUCUAGGCGUGUAGCAAGAUGCAGUUCCAGCUCUCCUGGGGACAGGACAGGAGUCACAGCUGAUGCUUCCUGGCUUCCAGUGCUGUGAGGGGAGGGCACCCUGGCAGCUCAACAGGGCAGAAGCUUUGCAGCAGUGUCACCCUUCAGCGCCGCGCUGAUGGGUGCAGACUCCUCAGUUCCUGUGUGGUCUGCCCUGCCCGGUGAGUUCAGGUUCUCUUCCCCUGGGGAGAGGCAGGAGUCUCCUUCUGCUAACAGAGGCCCCUACAGCUUCUGGCGCAGCCCCAGGAUGGCCAGGAGUCAGCUGUGCCUCAGAGAUGGCACAAGACCUGCCGGUGUCUUGAUGUCAUCCCAGUGACCCAGCUGUCACCGAGGAUCCUGCAGAUUCCCACAUGGCAAGAGGUGAGCAAGGGAGAGACCGGUGAGGGGCAGGCUCUGUGAUAAGACACAUCCAUUUCCAGGCCUCAUCGGAUGCAGACAACCACUCCUGAGCCAGGAAUGGUAGCAGUCAGCAUGGUGAGAUCUCUGGACUCCUGUGAUCCUCCCUCCUGGCCACGAGUCAAACCACAGCCAGCCAGGAUCAGGGGUCAGAUUGGAGGGAGACAACAGUGUGAAGACAGGAUCCACCUGGACACGGCACAGCAACAGGGAUGUGAUGACUCUCAGGUGUCACGGACUCGGCAGGCAAACGGGCAUCUGGGUAAGGGAGACGCCAGAGGGCACCUGGAAAGGUGGGCAGGGACCAAGGAGGGAUGCUGGGCCAUGCCCUAUUUGAAGAGGCACCUGCUAUUUAGCAACAGCUGUAAAAUAUCUGGCAGGAUUGGCACCAAGGAUGUCAGGUCUUCUGAUUCAUCUAGAGAAGCCAGAAAUCAGGGUGUGUUUCUAUGGGUGUGGG